rnacentral:rRNA from 2 species
GUACCUACGGGUGGCUGCAGUGGGGAAUAUUGGACAAUGGGCGCAAGCCUGAUCCAGCCAUGCCGCGUGAGUGAUGAAGGUCUUAGGAUUGUAAAGCUCUUUCAACGGUGAAGAUAAUGACGGUAACCGUAGAAGAAGCCCCGGCUAACUUCGUGCCAGCAGCCGCGGUAAUACGAAGGGGGCUAGCGUUGUUCGGAAUUACUGGGCGUAAAGCGCGCGUAGGCGGGUAUUUAAGUCAGGGGUGAAAUCCCAGAGCUCAACUCUGGAACUGCCUUUGAUACUGGGUACCUAGAGUCCGGAAGAGGUGAGUGGAAUUGCGAGUGUAGAGGUGAAAUUCGUAGAUAUUCGCAGGAACACCAGUGGCGAAGGCGGCUCACUGGUCCGGUACUGACGCUGAGGUGCGAAAGCGUGGGGAGCAAACAGGAUUAGAUACCCGGGUAGUC